UCGAGCGCACUCUUCGGAGUGAGCGGCGGACGGGUGAGUAACGCGUGGGAAUAUGCCCUUCUCUACGGAAUAGCCUCGGGAAACUGAGAGUAAUACCGUAUACGCCCUUCGGGGGAAAGAUUUAUCGGAGAAGGAUUAGCCCGCGUCUGAUUAGAUAGUUGGUGGGGUAAUGGCCUACCAAGUCGACGAUCAGUAGCUGGUUUUAGAGGAUGAUCAGCCACACUGGGACUGAGACACGGCCCAGACUCCUACGGGAGGCAGCAGUGGGGAAUCUUAGACAAUGGGCGCAAGCCUGAUCUAGCCAUGCCGCGUGAGUGAUGAAGGCCUUAGGGUCGUAAAGCUCUUUCGCCAGGGAUGAUAAUGACAGUACCUGGUAAAGAAGUCCCGGCUAACUCCGUGCCAGCAGCCGCGGUAAUACGGAGGGGACUAGCGUUGUUCGGAAUUACUGGGCGUAAAGCGCGCGUAGGCGGACUAUUAAGUCGGGGGUGAAAUCCCGGGGCUCAACCCCGGAACUGCCCUCGAUACUGGUAGUCUUGAGUUCGAGAGAGGUGAGUGGAAUUCCGAGUGUAGAGGUGAAAUUCGUAGAUAUUCGGAGGAACACCAGUGGCG
rnacentral:rRNA from 1 species